AGUUUAUAUGUCAGAAGAUUUUGAUUUCCAAGUAAAAUGAGGAAGUGAGCUUGUACUAUUUUUUCCUUCAAUCUAAAUAUGCUAAACUAUCUUUAUUUCUGGCGUUGGACAUUGUGUCAUAAACUGUCCAGGAAAAUCUGGCCGGCUGUCUGAUCUGAAAUUAGCAAAUCUAGCUGUGCUUUUCCUUCAGGAUGACAAAGCCGGAGAAGCUCAUAUUGCAUCACUUCGUCGAGGAGUUGAGUGUGAAAACAUGCUUCUGUGGUAGUUCAACUUUUCACUAGGAGUUGAGUGUGAAAACGUCCAGUUUAUCAUCUAACAUGAUGUUGGGCGAUUGGUUGCUGAAAAUGGAACUCUGAAUUUUUUUAAAGGAGAACUCUGAAGGUUAUUUGGCCUCAAAGUGGCCAUUACCACCCUACAAAGGAGUGUUUCAGAGCUUACUUAAAGAUAACUUGGUUGAUCUUAUUGAUGUAAAGAGAACGAUAAAUCUGUUUUGGAAUGGCUGAAAUGAGAACAUGUAAGACCACAUUAGUGCUGCAGAAUGAUUGGAGUGCCUCAAAUAUUGGGUGAAAAUACGGUGGCCUCGGGACUACGAGCCUACAUGUAAGGGAUGAAACCACCGCCUGCGGUCGCCUCCAUAAGUCACCCAUAGUGGCCUCUACAUACUUUAAGUUUUCUUAUUUUCUAUAACGGGAUAGAAGUGUAGGUAAAUAUAACCUUGCUGCCUAAUCGUUGGGCGUCAUUUUAUUUGCAAAAGCGAUUUCUUUUGUUAUUUACCUGAUUAGCUGUAUUACCCAACCCGCACAGCAUAAUUUCCUCUACAUCUACUUAGCAAAUGACUAAUUACAGAUAUAAUUUUGUGCUUCAGCAUCCAUUUUAGUAUUAGAUGGCCAAUCAUUGUUUUUCCUGACUAAUUAUCAAGUGCAUCACAAGUGUUAAAUAUGGGCAUCCAUUUUUAUAUCGUUUCUCUACAUAUAUGGUGGACUAAUUCCGUACAUGUGGACCGAUUCCUCUACGUCUGUUACUUCUUUUUAAUGACCGACAUUGCUUUGAUCUUUACAUUGUUUUGGUGUAUUGGUUGCUUUCGAAAAAUCAAACCAAUAAGAUUUCACAUAGUGACAUAUCUAUCGACGCAUCUUAACUGAAGGUUCGGUUGAGUGUAAUCUUCAGUUGGUGUAUUUUCAAAUUGACUACUGCAAGGUUUGUUGCUCUAUUUUUUAAACAUUUUUGUGGUGACUGGAUGUAAAUAAUUACAUUGUUACUGUGAUGGAACCAAAUACCACUUGCACCUACGUAUAUGUGUGAUGCUAUUCUGCACAUUAUGUAGCAUGUAAUAUUGGCCAAAUUUAAUAG